rnacentral:misc_RNA from 1 species
GGAGGCGGCGGUGGUGGCCCACGCAUAUAGUUGUUAGGGGGUGGUCUGCCCAUAUAGUUGUUAGGUGGUGGUGGUGGCAGCCCACCUGGUCCACUCAUGUUGCUCAGUGGCACUCCAGCCAUGUUGGAUGUGGGGUUCUGCAUGCCCUGAUUGUCCAUUGGAGCUACCCUUGUGUUCUGGAAAUCUCUGUUCUGCAUGUUUUCCCUUCUUCUUUCAUAGUUUCUUGACCUGUCAAAGUUACGAGGCCUAUCGUUGCGCCUAUUUCUCUCAUUUGCCCUGGCAUUAUUCCUCAUCCAUUCUUCAUGGUACUUCCAGCACUUAUGCCAUGAAAUAAAAGAAAACACCUCACCCCCAUAAUCUUUGUUCUUAACAUCCAAAUAUGAAUCAGGAAGAACCCAACGAACCCUGGGCAAUUUUUUAAUCUCGUAAGAAAGCUCUUCAGACACGAGAGCUCCAAAAGCAUAGUAACAUCUAGUUGAAACUGAGUAGAUCUUCUU